AAGCCAAAAGCAGCACAGAGCUAACCAGAGCUUCAAGGAUGACGACAUCAAUAGUGUGUGUUGCCCCACCUUCAACCAAAUAAAGUUCCCUCCAGUUCUCCCUCCCUCUCCUCCUGCUUGCUUGCUCCUUUCUUCCUUCCUUCUUUCCCACCUUCCCUCCCUCCUUCUUUCCCUCCUUCCCUCCUUCUUUGCUUCUUCUUUUUACUUCUUUCUUUCUGUACAACCCACCUAGAUUUCCAUAAUGGACACUCUACCUUCCAACUGGUUGGCUUUAGACAGAUAUCAGAAGUCCUACAGGACAUGCUUUGCAAAUUCUACAUGACAUCCCUGUGACCUGAGAGAGGUCUGAACGUUGGUGUGAAGGGUUCCUUUCCCCACGAGGUCACUCUGGACAUCCACACACCAUGUGGAGCAGCUAGAGGACUCGGGUUGCCACGGGGACUCCAAUAUGGAAGGCCUGGUACAAGGCGGUGUGUCUCAAACCUGGUCGAGUCCUAGUGCAGGACGACUAGAGUAGCAGCCAGCGCCAAUCUGAGGGCUGGGGUUCUGGAGGCACCAGAUUGGCCCACAAUCCAACAUGAUCUUGGCCUUUUAAUCUACUAACUUCCCCCGUGGCUCCUGUGGAAUGCUCUUUUGCUAUUCUCUCAGACGUACUUUCCUUUGGGCUGCUAGGGUAGAAGCAUCUAUUGAACAAAGAGAAGGGAACUGUAAAUUUAACCAACCAAUGAGUCUUGAGCUGAAGGAGGAGAACAGAAACCAAGGGCAGAAAUCUGCAGCAAUCACGGCAGGACGGACAGAAGUGGACUCCUUAGAGAAGAGUCUCACUAGACCAGUUGGGAAAAAUGGGAACCGGGAGAAGACGUUCCACUGAGUAUCCUUAGAAAUUCUCACCACAGCCUGAGGAUGCAAAAGAGAAAGGGGUCCCGUCACACCCAGCCCCUCCUAGGGAAAGCUGAUCUUUGCAUCUCCUGCCAAGAGCUCUCAGAGACUGCAAAUAAAUUUGUGAUUUAUUCAAAC
rnacentral:lncRNA from 1 species